ACGAAGGGUGCAAGCGUUAAUCGGAAUUACUGGGCGUAAAGGGUGCGUAGGCGGUUGUUUAAGUCUGCCGUGAAAUCCCCGGGCUCAACCUGGGAACUGCAUCCGAUACUGGAUGGCUUGAAUUCGGGAGAGGGAUGCAGAAUUCCAGGUGUAGCGGUGAAAUGCGUAGAUAUCUGGGGGAAUACCGGUGGCGAAGGCGGCAUCCUGGACCAUUACUGACGCUGAGGCGCGAAAGCUAGGGGAGCAAACGGGA
rnacentral:rRNA from 1 species